GACGAACGUUGGCGGCGUGCUUAAUACAUGCAAGUCAACUGAAGCAGUGGUAGCAAUAUCGCUGUGGAGGUGGCGCACGGGUGAGUAACACGUAGGUAAUCUGCCUUCAGGUCUGGCAUGACUCCGGGAAACCGGGGCUAAUAGCAGAUGAUGCAGCGGCUCGACAUCGAGACAGUUGUUAAAGCUAUGGCGCCUGAAGAUGAGCCUGCGUCUGAUUAGCUAGUUGGCGGGGUAACGGCCCACCAAGGCAACGAUCAGUAGCUGGUCUGAGAGGAUGAUCAGCCACACUGGAACUGAGACACGGUCCAGACUCCUACGGGAGGCAGCAGUAAGGAAUAUUGCUCAAUGGGAGAAAUCCUGAAGCAGCAACGCCGCGUGAGGGACGAAGGGCUUUUGCUUGUAAACCUCUGUAGUGAGAGAAAAAAAUCCCAAUCUUUGGGACAUGAUGGUAUCUCAAAAGUAAGCCCCGGCUAACUACGUG
rnacentral:rRNA from 1 species